rnacentral:rRNA from 1 species
GACGAACGCUGGCGGCGUGCUUAACACAUGCAAGUCGAACGGAAAGGCCCUGCUUUUGUGGGGUGCUCGAGUGGCGAACGGGUGAGUAACACGUGAGUAACCUGCCCUUGACUUUGGGAUAACUUCAGGAAACUGGGGCUAAUACCGGAUAGGAGCUCCUGCUGCAUGGUGGGGGUUGGAAAGUUUCGGCGGUUGGGGAUGGACUCGCGGCUUAUCAGCUUGUUGGUGGGGUAGUGGCUUACCAAGGCUUUGACGGGUAGCCGGCCUGAGAGGGUGACCGGCCGCAUGGGGGCUGGGUUGCGGCCCAGACUCCUCCGGGGGGGAGGAGUGGGGACUCUCCCGCAUUGGGCGGACGCCUGAGGCAGCAACGCCGCGUGCGGGAUGGCGGCGUUCGGUUUGUAAACCGCUUUCGCCUGUGACCAGGCGUGAGGGCCGGUACUGGGGAAGGAAGCACCGGCUAGCUCUGU